rnacentral:sRNA from 1 species
GCUGAGCUGAAAGGUUGGAAUCCCUUUGUCUAGGAACAAAAGGAGGAAGCCUGACUCUGCGAUUUUCCAAAAGAAUAAAGGAUGGAGAGACAGUUCGGUGCUUUGCUCGGGAGCCCAUACUGCUCUUGUAGGAGACCUGAAUUUAGUUGCCAGCACCCAUGUCAUGCAGCUGUUGCCUAUAACGCCUGCUCCAGGGGUUCUGAUGCCCUCUUCUGGCCUCUGCAGGCACUGCAGUCACAUAAAUACAAAGUAGAAGUAAAUAAAGACAAUUUAAACCUUG